rnacentral:lncRNA from 1 species
AAAGAGACUCCACCACUCUGUCUCUCUGUCUGUCUUCUCUCCUUACUCUGCCCGGUCUCCCUCUCCCCUUCCUCUCCGCUCCUCCGCAGGAAAGAGCAGAUAAAAGAGGUGCUUGGAGCUUCUGAGGAGAGAGAGGUGUGUUUGAAGAGCUAACUCCUGAGCAGCUUCCUUCCUUCCUGACCGACAGACUGACAAACAAAGAGACCAGUGAAGAGCAACAGAGCCUCACUGGGAUGAAAACACCUAUCAUAUUACAUUACUCCAGAUGACUAUUACCACAGGACCACAGCCAGAGCAAACAGAACCCCAGUCAGCUGUCUUCUAAAGCCAACAGCGAUAAGGCCAAUAUCAGGUCUUUAAUAAAGACAGCUGGGGAGAGCAAAUUCUGUUACCAUGGUGACUGCAGUGUCAGCUAACCUAGUUUCCACGGUGGAAGGACAUUGGGUGAAGAGAGAAGGCUAGCCUAUUGGUAACAUUAUUGAUGUACAACGGGGCAUGUGAAGUCUCUGACUGGGGGUGUAGGUGAACACAUACACACACAGCCGCCUCUUCCUAUACGUAGACUACACGCUGCAAGGGGGCCCCACGACCCCCAAAAAUAUAAUACAAAUGUGUUUUUUUAGGAACUAAGAUAGUUUGAAAAGUAGAAUACACAAGGUGCAAUGUUUUAAUUUGGUAGUUCAUCAGCAGUUUUCCACUUGUUAUGUCAGUCACUCAAUUAGCACCCAUGUCAGAAAAACAUUUUGUAUUGCUAGUGAUGGGUUCUGACUCCUAAACUUGGAAUAGUGUUAAUUAUCAGGUAUCCUAUUGAAAUAUUGAGUGCUAUAGUCUAGGAGGGUCUACCUACACCAGAAGUUAAUGGUUAUCUGUAGGAGGAAUGAAUAUGGUGGAGGCAAUUAAGCUUGGAUUGUACUGAGUGAAGGAAAGACGAUCACAUGUUGGCAGGCACUGAUAAGGGUGGAGAGAUGUGGUUUAGUGAGGAAGGGGGCCAAGGUCAGGUCAGAUCACGUUAAUAAGGGAGAAGGAAUAGUUUAUUUCCUGCCUAGCAACAAAGAUGUCAUGUUUAGAGAGAAGGGGGAGAUUCCACCCCAAAUUGGGGUAUAUAUGGGGCAGCAGGUAGCCUAGUGGUUAGAGCAUUGGGCCAGUAACUGAAAGGUUGCUGGAUCGAAUCCCUGAGCUGACAAGGUAAAGAUCUGUUGUUCUGCCCCUG